rnacentral:rRNA from 1 species
UGCCCGGGAUGAGUAGCGAGAAUUAUGUGAGAAUCAUAAUGGCCGAAAAUCUAAGGUUUCCUGAGGAAGGUUCGUCCGCUCAGGGUAAGCCGGGAGCUAAGGUGAGGCGGAAACGCGUAGCCGAUGCACAUACGGUAGAGAUUCCGUAGCCUCCGAAAAGUAAAGCACAGGGACGCUUCAGAAGUGUUACGCCGGGCGAUGGUAGCCCCGGUUGUAAAGGACACAAUUGAGUGGAAGGUAACUUGGAUGGAGACAAGAAAAGCUGUGUGUAUCUGGAAGGAGCCCGUACCGCAAACCGACACAGGUAGAUAGGAAGAAGAUUCUAAGGCCAGCGGGAGAAGGGUUGUUAAGGAACUCGGCAAGUUGACCCCGUAACUUCGGGAGAAGGGGUGCUUACGAAGGUAAGCCGCAGAGAAUAGGCCCGAGCGACUGGUUAGCAAAAACACAGCUCUAUGCUAAAUCGAAAGAUGACGUAUAUGGGGUGACACCUGCCCGGUGCUGGAAGGUUAAGAGGAGAUGUGAGAGCAUUGAAUUGAAGCCCCAGUAAACGGCGGCCGUAACAAUAACGGUCCUAAGGUAGCGAAAUUCCUUGUCAGGUAAGUUCUGACCCGCACGAAUGGUGUAACGAUUUGGGCACUGUCUCAACAACCUACCCGGCGAAAUUGUAGUAUCGGUGAAGAUGCCGGUUACCCGCGACUAGACGGAAAGACCCCAUGGAGCUUCACUGUAGCUUAAUAUUGAAUUUUGGUAUUUCAUGUACAGGAUAGGUGGGAGACUGGGAAAUACAGGCGUCAGCUUGUAUGGAGUCACUGUUGGGAUACCACUCUUGAGGUGCUGAAAUUCUAACCUGCGUCUUUGAAUCAAGACGGGGGACAUUGUUAGGUGGGCAGUUUGACUGGGGCGGUCGCCUCCAAAAGAGUAACGGAGGCGCUCAAAGGUUCGCUCAGCAUGGACGGAAACCAUGCCAAAGAGUGCAAACGCAAAAGCGAGCCUAACUGCGAGACUGACGGGUCGAGCAGUAACGAAAGUUGGAGUUAGUGAUCCGGCGGUAUGUGAGUGGAAAUGCCGUCGCUCAACGGAUAAAAGCUACCCUGGGGAUAACAGGCUGAUCUCCCCCAAGAGUCCACAUCGACGGGGAGGUUUGGCACCUCGAUGUCGGCUCAUCGCAUCCUGGGGCUGAAUUCGGUCCCAAGGGUUUGGCAGUUCGCCAAUUAAAGCGGUACGCGAGCUGGGUUCAGAACGUCGUGAGACAGUUCGGUCCCUAUCUGUCGUGGGCGUAGGAUAUUUGAAAGGAGCUGUCCCUAGUACGAGAGGACCGGGAUGGACGCACCUCUGGUGAACCAGUUGUCACGCCAGUGGCACGGCUGGGCAGCUAAGUGCGGAACGGAUAAACGCUGAAAGCAUCUAAGCGUGAAGCCGACCUUAAGAUAAGAUAUCCGUUCUUCGGAAUAAGGCCCCUUGUAGACUACGAGGUUGAUAGGCUUAAAGUGUAAGCAUGGUGACAUGUUUAGCUUGCAAGUACUAAUCGGUCGAUUGCUUUUCCG